CAGAUUACCCUAACAAUUUACACUUGCUAUACCCCAACUCUCCAAGUCAAGAUGUCUCUAGCCACCAAUCAACACUCUAUUGUUCAGCUAAAUGUGUCAGACCUUAGAUGAGUCACAAACCAACAUCAAAGUUUCAUGUAUGUCAUGCACAUGCCUUUUAUCUAACUUUUCAGCCAACAGCAUCAACUUGUUCACUUAAGACUGCCUGCCCACUCCGCCAACUCCUCCCAAGUCUUUGACUCUAAUUCUACCCUUUAUAAUCCCCACUAUAUCUAUGUGUAAAGUGCUACAUUCCUCAACACUGAACUACUGGCUUAAACUUUCCUGCCCAUACAUCAGUUCCAAACAAAUUGCAUCAAUGGAUCUACAAGGACACACAUCCAACACACAUCUCACAACCACUAUCUCCAAAAGAUCCUUUAUCAUACCCCAAGGAUUGCACGUCUGCUUCCUCACAGACUCAAUAUGUCGAGAUAUUAAAGACUACAUGCCAAAAGCACAAUGCUGGGUGCACCCAGGGACAACGCUUCUAAGAUCUGCUAUGCAACACACCAACCACUUUAAGACAGUACACAGCAAUAGCAUUGUGAUCAUUCACAUCGGAACAAAUGACAUUGCAAGUGGAGCACCUGCAUCAACAGUCAUCCAACGCAUGAAAACUCUCAUAAAAAGAAUAUCCCUCACUAAUCCUCACAUCCUUUACUAUGGAAUCAGUGCUAUCUUACCACAUCCGACAGAUAACUCUACAACUAAGAACACUGUCAAAGAGUUCAACAGCUUGCUUCGCUACUGGACUGAACAAACAACAAACAUAAUUUUUCUGAACACAACAAAACCAUUCCUAAAAAGUGGAAAAAUACUCUAUCACCUAUACAAGCAAGAUGGGCUACAUCUCACUACACAAGGAAAACAAAGACUUUUUGCCUACUUCCAGCGUUUCCUCUGGCAUUUUUGUCAUUUUCAAACUCCCACAAAAAAAUGUUUAACUAACUAACAUGAAAAAGUUUCACAUCUCUCUUGUUAAACUUGUUACUUCUUCCUGAAAAAAUAUAUAUUUUUUAAAUAAUAAAUUUUCUAUUCACAAUACAUCUGCAUUUUCAUAGAGUUUCAUUUUGCCUCUUAAGUGAUCACAACAUUCCUACAACUCUAUCAAAAACAAGCAUAAACAUUCACCACUUCACUAUCGUUUUGUUUAAAUGUAUAAUGCUAGUGCAUCCAAACUCUGCAUACAUGCAUGCUUCUACAAAAAAAAGGUAUAACAUAAUAUAACAUAAUGCCAAUAUACUGAAAAUGCAAAACUGCAAACAUAUUUACAAGAUAUUCAACAGUAUUACAAGUACAAUUUAUUUAAAAACGAAAAGUAUCUGUUCAAUUCACCAUUAUCUACACUAACACAUUUUUAGUGCACAUUAUAUUAGUUCCAAAUCAAAAACUUAACUUAAAUGUAUGUUACACCAUAGAACACUACAUCACACUAAAAUAAAAAUAGUUAUUUAAAUAUUUGUAUUUCAUUUUGAAAAUGUCAAAGUAAAAUAGUCUAAUUUCCAUACAAACAACAUCAACACUUUUCUUUUUUUAACAAAACAAAAUAAGUUCCAACCAAAAAACUUAGUCUCUUAGGCAAACACAAUGUCCCCCAGCUGCAUGUGUAACACAUAUAAUUGGUAUUCAAACUAUAUUCAUUAAGAUGUCAAAGAUUUUUAUUUAUUUAUUAUUAUUUAUUUAUUUUUAACCACAAUACUUAUCUUUUAUCUUUAAAACAUAAUUUUGCUUCUAUUUACUUUCUACACCAUUCUCUUACAUUCUCCUGGCUGCUGGUGAACCCUGUUAAUUUUCUAUCUAUCACAAAGUCAUUUAAUUAAUAUAAUUAUUACAUUUAAAAACACUAAAAAAAAAAAAAAAAAAAUCCCUUAACAUUCAAAUAAUUAACAUGCUUCUUUAAAAACUUUGUCAUCUACUAUGACAUUUGUUCCUAUGAUAUGACAGAGUACACUUGUGAACAAACCAUCACCUUAAAACAUUUCAGCCUAACCUAUCAUUAUCACUUUGGAAGACACAUUUGCAAAAUUAUAAAACAUAAUAAAAUAAUAAAAUAAAAAUAACAAUAAUAAAAAACAUAAUUUAGAAGUAUCACAUGAAAAAUUACAAAACAUGACACUUUUGUAACAGUCCCAAAAAGUUAAAUAUUUGAACAAUUUUGAGAAAAAAAUUGACCAUGUAGCCAUAAUAUACUUGACAAAGGACUUUAGUAACACAUUCAUAAAUAGAAUCCUUCAACUAAUUAAUUUUUUUUCUGAAAUUGGCCACUUCAAAAUCAAGAAAUAUUUUAUAUAUUGUUCUCUUGUGUGUUUAUCUGUGUGUUAUGUGUAGGUGUAAGACAAAAUCAAACAUUAAUAAAUGAUAUACAAUUACUAUUCAUGUUAAUUAAUAUAGUUAAUGUUAAUACCUGAAACCUUAUUGAAAGUUUUAACAAUCUUUUAUGUAUAGUAAUGCAUGUGGUUCUCUUGAUGGUUUAAAUUAACCCUUUUAUUGCUGUAUCCCUUAAAUCCAAACUACUAACCCUAACUAAAAUAAACUAUUUAAAGCUCUGUAACAAGCACAUGCUCUGGAAUUUGAUAUAUUUGUCAUAAAUGUUUUACCCGAUUGCCACCAAACUCGGUCAACAUGAUCACAUUGCCAGGGGAUUUUUGAUAUCUCAAACGGUUUGCUCGUGGCGAGGCGUUGAAAUUAUGGCGAGAAAUGAGAAACAGGAAGUGUCUAAUACCAUCCACAUACAUUUCCUGAUUUUAAUCAAACUUCAUCAGAUUAUUCUUUGUAUGAUGUCGAUCACAUAUAUGUGACUAUUAGGAGUCAAAGUUAUAGCGCCACCAACUGGCAGCAGGAAGUGUAUCAUUUUCAAAAUGCUUUGUAUUCAGCAUCUUAUUUUUACUCGAUUAACUUCAAACUUCAUCAGAAUAAUGUUAAAACACAGCCGAUAUUAAUCUGCUAGGGGGAUAUUGAUAUCUAAAAAUAUUGUUGCCGUGGCAACAUGUCAAACUUGAAUACUUCUCAGGUGAUUUUAAGGCAUAUAACAUACUUAGAACUUCAUGAAAUUCAGAACACAUAUCAGUAUUUAUGAUAACUAGACACUGGCAAAAGUUCAUAAGAGGGCGUGGAAGAGGCACUCUAUAGCGCCACCUUUUGUCAAAAGUGGGGGGGUUAGUUUUAGCUACAGACACCAAACUCGGUACAAAAAUAGUUCUUAUCAAGACGGACAACUUUCUAAUUCACAGUCAUCAGCUACGAUCAACAGGAAGUCAGCUAUUUUGAUUUGAAUGUGGAUUUUUUUUACAUUUAGCUGUGAAUUAAUGCAUACUGCUCAGAUGAGAGUAACACUAUACACACCAAACUUUGUCUACAUGUUGCCAAAACAUUUUAUACAACUUAAAUUGCCAAAGGAUUUUGGAUAGCUUGAACGGUUUUGUCGUGGUGAUUUUUUUAAAUGACAGUAAAAAUGGAAUUAUUAAUUGUCCUGCAUUUUUAAAUUCCAAACACUUCAAAACCUUUUUUCAUACAGAAAAAAAGUCAUUCUGAGUAAAUAUGGAUAGUUUCACGACUUUACAACACUGUAUGGAUAACAGAAAAUGUAAAAACUGUCAGACAUCUCAUCUCACUCUGUCCCUCUGUUUGAGUAUUAUGUGCUGAGACUUACAUUGUCUGAGAGAAAAUGCGCCCCUACAGGUUCAAUUCCUGAAAGGGAAAUUCGACUGAAAGGGAGGAGACUCUCUUUUAGUUUCAUUUUUAAAUCGGUUAAAAUACAAAUAAAUACUUAGAUUUAAUUCACACUGACAAGCUAAACCAACAUAUAUGAUUAUUACUGGGUCAGGGCUCAUUAAUAAUUGAUGUGUGGUCAGUGAUACGUGAGAAACACGAGAGAUGAAUCACCGCUCUGAGCAUGAGCGUGUGGAAUGACGAGCUCAGAAAAAACGAGUUUAUUCUUGUUUUAUAGCUUUAACAAAUAAAAUAUUAAAGCGAUAUCACACAAUUCACCAAUUAGAACACACCAAGAGCUAAAUUCAGAUGUUUUUGAACUGUUUGUGUGAAAAUGAAAUAUUCGCGGUUGCCUAUCUGAAAUCACUGCUCCGAUCAGCGCGUACAGUGUCACAAGUUCAAAACAAACGAAUUUAUUCUUGUGUAAGAGCUUUUUAAAAUAAAUUAUUGCCAUAAAUGCACACAAUACAUCCAUUAUAACACAACACGAGCUAAAUGCAGGUGUUUGUGACCCGUUUAAGUGUGCAAGACUAUUUGAAAGCGCGACUGGCAGAAUAACAUAUAUCUCUCGAGCUGCAGGAUUCUGCCUUUCGUCGUACGAACGAACACAUCAAGGACAAGAUUAUUUCAAAAUACAUAACAGCUUGGCGAAUAUAAACGAAAACAGCCACGUGGACAUAAACUGUUGAGAAAUAAAUCUGAAGUGGAUCUACUGGAUUUGAAUAUUAAGUGACCGCAUAUACCAGCUGCUUCUGUCUUCAAUUUUAAUCUAUAUAAAAAAUUAAACUCAUUCAUCUUGGCUGCUUUUUUUAAUAUGUGUACGUAUUUAUUUAUUAUUUUGCUCUAACAAGACUUAAUCUAUAUUUAAUUAAAUCAAUUACAUUUUAUUUUACAUUUGUUUGUCCAUUUCUGCAUCUAAACGCCUAAAAACCUAAAACAUGCUCUAUUAUACUAUUGUUAGCCAUUUCUUUAUCGUCCAAUUUAUCUGGUGUACACUUUUAUUUUCAUAAUAAACUUGUCUGUUAGAUUAUACACAGUUACAGUGGUCUAUAAUAAAUAUUAACAGGUUUUAUUCAAGCUGUUUAGAAUGAAUG